rnacentral:rRNA from 1 species
AAUGGGCGCAAGCCUGAUCCAGCCAUGCCGCGUGAGUGAAGAAGGCCUUCGGGUUGUAAAGCUCUUUCGGUUGGGAAGAAAUUGCUUGGGUUAAUACCCUGAGUAGAUGACGGUACCAGCAUAAGAAGCACCGGCUAACUACGUGCCAGCAGCCGCGGUAAUACGUAGGGUGCGAGCGUUAAUCGGAAUUACUGGGCGUAAAGCGUGCGCAGGCGGUUUUGUAAGUCAGAUGUGAAAUCCCCGGGCUCAACCUGGGAACUGCAUUUGAGACUGCAAGGCUAGAGUGUGGCAGAGGGGGGUAGAAUUCCACGUGUAGCAGUGAAAUGCGUAGAGAUGUGGAGGAAUACCGAUGGCGAAGGCAGCCCCCUGGGUCACUACUGACGCUCAUGCACGAAAGCGUGGGGAGCAAA